UAGAGCAGAUUUUGUUUGGUUAGGACCUU
rnacentral:piRNA from 1 species